AAAAAAGGAGAGAACUGCAUCAUCACCCAAUAACAAACUGCAGUGCACUAGAAGCAGAAAAAUGGGCAGCACAACCAGACCCUGAGGGUUGUAGCCACCCAGCACACCUGCAAAGGCAAUCUAAACUCUAACCAUUGUCGAAAACAAUACGAUGCAAAUCUGAAAUCAUCGUGCUUGACCAUCUGCCCCAAACAUGCAGCCAACUACUAACCAUACUACAAAUCUUGUACAAAAUUUGGAUCGGCGAUCUAAACUCCUCUCUAAAGAUACGAUGGUUCCGCUCCGUCCAAAUACACCAAAACGUAGCAUGUAACAACACCUUCAUGACACCCUUGAAAUUAGCAAUACAGUUCAUACCUUUCCACGCUAGUAAGAAACUGACCACAUCAUCAUGGAACGGUCCUAUUAAGGAAAGUGCCGAACUAAGACGAUUCCAAAUAGUGCCAGAAAAAUCACAAUCAAGGAAGAGGUGUUCAACCCUCUACGUUGAAGAUUGUCAAUAGUGGCAAUCUUCCCAUGAAAAACCAUCCAAAUGAAAUUUUGAAUCUUUGACGGAACAAUAUUACUCCAUACCAUGUCAUGCGGGAAGUGGUUGGAACCAGGAAAUCUCUGCACCGAGAGAGCUGCUCUGUAGGAUCUCACCGAGAAAACCCCUGCCAGCUCCAAGGGCCACACAAUGCUCGCGGGGCCAGCCGUGAUAGUGUCUUCGGGAAUGGAAUCGAGAUGUUGGAUGAGUCGAUU
rnacentral:lncRNA from 1 species